rnacentral:tRNA from 1 species
GUGGCUCAGUGAUAGAGCGCAUGCUUUGCAUGCAUGAGGCCCUGGGUUCGAUUCCCCAGC